rnacentral:rRNA from 1 species
GACGAACGCUGGCGGCGUGCUUAACACAUGCAAGUCGAACGGAAAGGCUCCAGCUUGCUGGCGUACUCGAGUGGCGAACGGGUGAGUAACACGUGGGUAAUCUGCCCUGCACUCUGGGAUAAGCCUGGGAAACUGGGUCUAAUACUGGAUAUGACCUUUCUCCUUAUGGGGUUUGGUGGAAAGUUUUUCGGUGUAGGAUGAGCCCGCGGCCUAUCAGCUUGUUGGUGGGGUGAUGGCCUACCAAGGCGACGACGGGUAGCCGGCCUGAGAGGGCGAUCGGCCACAUUGGGACUGAGAUACGGCCCAGACUCCUACGGGAGGCAGCAGUGGGGAAUAUUGCACAAUGGGCGGAAGCCUGAUGCAGCGACGCCGCGUGAGGGAUGACGGCCUUCGGGUUGUAAACCUCUUUCAGCAGGGACGAAGCGUAAGUGACGGUACCUGCAGAAGAAGCACCGGCUAACUAGGUG